rnacentral:lncRNA from 1 species
GAUUAAUCUAUUACCCCCAGUAGGCUACUCUACUAACCCCCAGUAUGUUACUCUACUACCCCCCCAGUAGGUUAUUCUACUACCCCCCAGUAUGUUACUCUAUUACCCUCCAGUAGGGUACUCUACUACCCCCCAGUAUGUUACUAUAUUACCCCCCAGUAGGUUACUCUACUACCCCCCCAGUAUGUUAUUCUACUACCCCCCAGUAGUUACUCCACUACCCCCCAGUAGGUUACUCCACUACCCCCCAGUAGGCUACUCCACUACCCCCCAGUAUGUUACUAUCUUACCCCCCAGUAGGUUACUCUACUACCCCCCACACAGAGGUUACAAUACUACUACCGCCCCAGUAGGUUACUCUACCCCCCCCCCCCCCCCAGUAGGUUACUCUCUACUACCCCCCGCAGUAGGUUACUCUACUACUACUACUACACCCCCCCCCCCCCCCCCCCCCCCCCCCCCUCCCCCCCCCAGUAAUUACUCUUACUACCCCCCAGUAGGCUACAGUAUAUCUAAAGGGCCUGGUCCAAAUGAGAAGGAACAGUAGAAUAUGAUAAAGGCUUCAGUCUGAACCACAACCACAUACCUUUCUUUCAGAGAGGUUGUCAAUUGGGCACAUACAAAGAAUGACACCCUGAAGUACUAAGAGUUAAGGGGGAUAGAUGAGAGAGCGAAGAGUGAACUGGUGCGUCUAUUUGUGUCUUUUGAAGAGAGAAUCAUACACCAGAAAUCUCUUAAACCAUCGCUGUUAUUGCUCCAAAUAUUAACAACCUAUUUAGAGAAGGGUCCACACUAAUGUGGAAAGAUAUAUUAAAUUAUUUCCUGGUUGACUAUACUGCAUGUCUAGUCUGAAUUUAAGAUAAAUAUUGACUAUGAAUAUUAUUUAAUUAUCUUUUAAAUUAGUGUGUGGCACAGGAAAGGUGUCCAUACUGAGUGUUAUCCUUAACUAUGAUAUGAGAAAUAGUACAAUACAAUGUAACUGCCCCAUUUCAGUUUUUAUUAUUGGGCCCAUACUGCUAUUUUUUGCAGAACAUACAAUUUAUUUAUUGCUCAUCACACAUGAUUUUAUCAAUCAUGGCAUAUAAUUCAUGAAGUUACUAAAUGCCAGGUAGUUAAGUGUGAAUGAGAGAGUGAAUUUAAAGGUUAAGACUAAAGACACAUGGUAUGGCCAUACAGUUAUCCCAUUCAUGGACUGAAAUAUUCUUGACACUUGAAAAGGUUGAAUUACAUUGAAGAGUUUGUCUCAUUUUUUACAAUAUAUAUCCAGUGUACUGUUUUUGUGUAACUGAUACCUCUUUGUACAAAGAAGUAAUCAUUGAGCUUUUGUACUGUCGUUAACUGAAGUCCUCAAUGUAUUUACCUGUAUUUCGAUUAAAAACUGUAAAUUAUCGUUGUUUCUUUGAUUGAUUUGUUGUGUUCAGCAUACGAAAAAAACAUGCACAAAUUGUUCUGUUUAUUGCUGACGCUAUUUUGUACAAUGUAAAACGCUGUAUUCCACAUAUGGUUCAUCCAUA